GAUGAACGCUGGCGGCGUGCCUAAUACAUGCAAGUCGAGCGAACGGACGAGAAGCUUGCUUCUCUGAUGUUAGCGGCGGACGGGUGAGUAACACGUGGAUAACCUACCUAUAAGACUGGGAUAACUUCGGGAAACCGGAGCUAAUACCGGAUGAUAUUUUGAACCGCAUGGUUCAAAAGUGAAAGACGGUCUUGCUGUCACUUAUAGAUGGAUCCGCGCUGCAUUAGCUAGUUGGUAAGGUAACGGCUUACCAAGGCAACGAUGCAUAGCCGACCUGAGAGGGUGAUCGGCCACACGGGAACUGAGACACGGUCCAGACUCCUACGGGAGGCAGCAGUAGGGAAUCUUCCGCAAUGGGCGAAAGCCUGACGGAGCAACGCCGCGUGAGUGAUGAAGGUCUUCGGAUCGUAAAACUCUGUUAUUAGGGAAGAACAUAUGUGUAAGUAACUGUGCACAUCUUGACGGUACCGAAUCAGAAAGCCACGGCUAACUACGUG
rnacentral:rRNA from 1 species